CGGGGCGUGGCGCAGUUUGGCUAGCGCGUUUGACUGGGGGUCAAAAGGUCGCAGGUUCAAAUCCUGUCGCCCCGACUA
rnacentral:tRNA from 1 species